rnacentral:tRNA from 1 species
UCCCCGGUAGUGUAAUGGUAGCACCACAGUCUCUGGAUCUGUUUGUGAGGGUUCAAAUCCUUCCUGGGGAA